rnacentral:rRNA from 1 species
UACGGAAGGCAGCAGUGGGGAAUAUUGCACAAUGGGCGCAAGCCUGAUGCAGCCAUGCCGCGUGUAUGAAGAAGGCCUUCGGGUUGUAAAGUACUUUCAGCGGGGAGGAAGGCGAUGUGGUUAAUAACCGCAUCGAUUGACGUUACCCGCAGAAGAAGCACCGGCUAACUCCGUGCCAGCAGCCGCGGUAAUACGGAGGGUGCAAGCGUUAAUCGGAAUUACUGGGCGUAAAAGCGCACGCAGGCGGUCUGUCAAGUCGGAUGUGAAAUCCCCGGGCUUAAACCUGGGAACUGCAUUCGAAACUGGCAGGCUAGAGUCUUGUAGAGGGGGUAGAAUUCCAGGUGUAGCGGUGAAAUGCGUAGAGAUCUGGAGGAAUACCGGUGGCGAAAGGCGGGCCCCCUGGGACAAAGACUGACGCUCAGGUGCGAAAGCGUGGGGAGCAAACAGGAUUAGGAUAACC